rnacentral:rRNA from 1 species
ACGGGAGGCAGCAGUGAGGAAUAUUGGUCAAUGGGCGAGAGCCUGAACCAGCCAAGUAGCGUGGAGGAAGACGGCCCUAUGGGUUGUAAACUCCUUUUAUGCGGGAAUAAAAGAGACUACGUGUAGUCUAUUGCAUGUACCGCAAGAAUAAGGACCGGCUAAUUCCGUGCCAGCAGCCGCGGUAAUACGGAAGGUCCGGGCGUUAUCCGGAUUUAUUGGGUUUAAAGGGAGCGUAGGCCGGGUUUUAAGCAUGUUGUGAAAUGUAGAUGCUCAACAUCUGCACUGCAGCGUGAACUGGAGCCCUUGAGUGCGCGGGAAGUAGGCGGAAUUCGUCGUGUAGCGGUGAAAUGCUUAGAUAUGACGAAGAACUCCGAUUGCGAAGGCAGCUUACUGUAGCGUAACUGACGCUGAAGCUCGAAAGUGUGGGUAUCGAACAGGAUUAGAUACCCUGGUA